rnacentral:rRNA from 1 species
GAUGAACGCUGGCGGCGUGCUUAACACAUGCAAGUCGAGCGAGAAGUUUUGAAAAGAUUCUUCGGAUGAAAUUUAAAAUGGAAAGCGUCGGACGGGUGAGUAACGCGUAGGCAACCUGCCCCAUACAAAGGGAUAGCAUUUGGAAACGAAUAUUAAUACCUUAUGAAACUUAACUAGUGCAUGCUAGGUAGGUCAAAGAUUUAUCGGUAUGGGAUGGGCCUGCGUCUGAUUAGCUAGUUGGUGAGGUAACGGCUCACCAAGGCGACGAUCAGUAGCCGACCUGAGAGGGUGAACGGCCACAUUGGAACUGAGACACGGUCCAAACUCCUACGGGAGGCAGCAGUGGGGAAUAUUGCACAAUGGGGGAAACCCUGAUGCAGCAACGCCGCGUGAACGAUGAAGGCCUUUGGGUCGUAAAGUUCUGUUCUAGGUGAUGAAAACUGACAGUAACCUAGGAGAAAGCCCCGGCUAACUCCGUG